rnacentral:misc_RNA from 1 species
GAAAUGCGAUAAGUAAUGUGAAUUGCAGAAUUCAGUGAAUCAUCGAAUCUUUGAACGCACCUUGCGCUCCUUGGUAUUCCUUGGAGCAUGCCUGUUUGAGUAUCAUGAAAUCUUCAAAGUAAAUCUUUUGUUAACUCAAUUGGUUUCUACUUUGGUAUUGGAGGUCUUUGCAACUUCACACCUGCUCCUCUUUGUUCAUUAGCUGGAUCUCAGUGUUAUGCUUGGUUCCACUCGGCGUGAUAAGUUAUCUAUCGCUGAGGACACUGUAAAAGGUGGCCAAGGUAAAUGCAGAUGAACCGCUUCUAAUAGUCCAUUGACUUGGACAAUACUUUUAUGAUCUGAUCUCAAAUCAGGUAGGACUACCCGCUGAACUUAAGC